rnacentral:pre_miRNA from 1 species
AAUGGGAUUGCUGGGUCAAAUGGUGGUUCCAUUACAAAUUUUCUGAGGAAUCUCCAUAUUGCUUUCCAUAAUGGUUGCACCAAUUUGCAUUACCACUAGCAAU